UUCGCGACUCCAGUUCCGUGCUGUGGUGCUCUGGCUACCGUGGAUGCGGCCACUCGUGCCGACUUCGGAGGACGUGGGGAGGGGGACGGCAUUCGCUAAGCGGAUGUGGCCACGGGAGAAUGCGCUGUGCUCAGACAGAUGUGGACAAGAGCGAGAAGGUUGCAUGCAAGGCGGCGCUUCACGGUCAGUGGGCAUGAACUGUGCCGUCUGCGGCUGUUUUCUCGACGUUACCGUACCAACAGCAGCAACGCGAAGCUGUUCGUUGCACGAGGCCAUGCGUUAAAGUUUGAGAGCGUGCCUUUAGGUUGUUUCGGCACCGGUCUGCGUGUAGGCAUAUGGCGUGCGUGUGUGUGUAUGUGUGUGGGCCAGUGAGAGAGAUGAAAACAGACGCGUGUGGUCGAUGGAUGCAAUAAGAGGAGAUCCCCAAUCGCACGCCGGGUGCGGUGCUCACAUUUUUUAUGUUCCAAAGGGUUCAUGGAUUCCUGUAAAGCAGACGAAGAGAAGGGAGGAGCAUGGCGGACGCACGAUUGCGGCCGCCGCAGCGGCCCCCACGUCAGUCGAGUGGACGAAAUCAGGAGAACAACAUGAGUUCGCUCUCUGCUAGCGUGUUGGGGCCAGAGUUCCACGGUGGAGCCGUCUCACAAUUUUCGCGUGGCUACUGCUUGUUGCCUCCUCAUAACGGGCGACACCUCGCCGCAGGUGGGUUCAGGGACUGAUGCCCCCCCCCCCCCCCCCCACACACUCUGUGUGUGGGGGGGCCGAGCAGUCUGCUGCAUCUCUGCCCGAGGCCGAGCCUCCCUCUGGUGGUGUCCAGGGCCCAGCACCUAGGACGUGGUGGGAUCCGAGUGAGUCACCGCGACCGAUGCUGGUGCUCAGGUGAUGGAUGACGUUGCGUCAGGAGAGACCUGCAACCGUGAACGUGCUUGUACAUAUUGUACAGUAGGCGGGCUGCCCGCGCGACUUGAGCGCAUCUCUCACCCGGCGCUCACAUUGCCCUACGGCUGUAGGGGAGCCUGAGCCACCCCGAGGGGUGUGCGCCAGACGGGCCUCUGGCAUGAUGGUAGCGGCUGCGAGGUGACCCCGUAGGGCGGGCAGCGUUUGAGAGGCAGAGGCCGUGCUCCUCAUGACGGAUGGGGCGCAUUGCUGUAAGGUGCGCGUCUAGGGCUGCUUUGCACGACAGGAUUGAGGCCUGUGGCUGGCCGGGGGCUGGCGUGGCGUUCGACCUCACACACUGCAUGGCAGAGAACCGGGGCACGGCGUGCGAAGAGAAAGAGCCAUUUGGCUGCUCUCGGAGCUGGGGAGGUCUAUUGUGGCGCUCAGAGCGCACUAUUCGUAGGGAAUACGCUCGGCGGGUGCUGAUGCAGCCUGCCUUCUUAUGAG
rnacentral:misc_RNA from 1 species